AACGAACGCUGGCGGCAGGCCUAAAACAUGCAAGUCGAACGAACCUUCGGGUUAGUGGCGCACGGGUGAGUAACGCGUGGGAAUAUGCCCUUCACUGCGGAACAACGUCGGGAAACUGACGCUAAUACCGCAUAAUGACUCCGGUCCAAAGAUUUAUCGGUGAAGGAUUAGCCCGCGUCUGAUUAGCUAGUUGGUGAGGUAACGGCUCACCAAGGCGACGAUCAGUAGGGGGUCUGAGAGGAUGAUCCCCCACACUGGAACUGAGACACGGUCCAGACGCCUACGGGAGGCAGCAGUUAGGAAUAUUGGACAAUGGGGGAAACCCUGAUCCAGCCAUGCCGCGUGUGUGAAGAAGGCCUUAGGGUUGUAAAGCACUUUCAGCUGUGAAGAUAAUGACAGUAGCAGAAGAAGAAGCUCCGGCUAAAUUCGUGCCAGCCGCCGCAGUAA
rnacentral:rRNA from 1 species